rnacentral:snRNA from 1 species
AUACUUAUCUGGAAGGGGUCAAUGGGCGAUCAACAAGGCUCAUGUCCUAGGCUGGUGACUGCCAUUGCACACUCUGGAGGGGUUCCUGCCUAAUGUCAGCCCCAAGUGGUCGAGCCUACGUCAUAAUUUGUGACAGUGGGGCCUGUGUUCGCGCCGCCCCUAC